GAAGAAGCCGUGAACAGGGAGAAUAGACUGUCGAUUUUGUACACCCGUUUUGCCAAGGUAUCUAAAUGGUGGAUUGUACACUUUAGGUGGUUAUUAGCUAUCAAGUGAGCUAUACGGGUACUCGAGGAAGCAAGGAAUGAUUGUCUGACAGAAUACUGCUUGCUAACGACAGUAUUUGUUAGCUUUGGUGCACCAAGUGUGACACGGCACUUCGUGUGCUGCCUAUUACCGCACUACGUGUGCUGUCUGUUACGACACUUUGUGUGCUGCCUUGUUGAUUCUCUAUGGUGUCCUCCUGCCUGACCACAUGAGAUCCUUUUGCUCUCUUUUGUCGUAUGAUUUGGUUAACUUUGUGAUUCAUAUAUCAUUCUUGAUUCACUCUUAAAGCCUAUUACAUUCCUCUGUUGUAUCAUUUAAGUUGUUAUUCAUUCACUGAUUCUUAUGACUCACGCAGUAUAUGUUGACAU